AAGGGUUCUCGCAAAAGAUUCUGGACAACCCCUAGAAUCCAAUGCUCUGCUUGCCAUUACAUGUUGUUACAUAGUCAUAUCUGGCCCCCCUCUUCCCUCACUCUCUCGCACGCGCACGCUUUUCAAAACCCUUUUUAUCCUUUCCACCGCAAAACAAAUCGAAGAAAACAAGCACAACACUCUCUCAAUCUUCUUCGCUUCGCGUUUAAAGGGUUGCUCUCUCUCUUUUUUCUUUUUUCUUUUUUUUGCUGCUAAUAAUAAUGGAUGGUCAAAGGAAUGACCAUGGCAAAAGAUCACAGCAUUCACAAUCUGAUUAUGGUGGAGGUAAAAGAAGAAACCCUGGAGACGACCCUUCUGACCAGCAUACUGUUACCAAUGAAGAUACGGUCUAUCGUUAUUUAUGUCCUUUAAGAAAGAUUGGUAGUAUUAUUGGUAAAGGUGGAGAGAUUGCUAAGCAAUUAAGGGCGGAUAGUAAGUCAAAUAUUAGGAUCAGUGAGGCAAUGCCGGGUUAUGAUGAGCGAGUUGUUACUAUUUUUAGUUCCAGUGAAGAAACUAAUCUUUUUGAAGAUACUGGUGAGUAUGUUUGUCCUGCCCAAGAUGCGCUUUUUAUGGUUCACGAUAGGGUUAUUGCCGAGGACUUGAAUAAUGCUGCUGCUGCUGAGGAGGAGGAGGAGGAUAGGUUUGGGGAGGUGCAGCAAGUUACUGUGAGAAUGCUUGUGCCCACGGAUCAAAUUGGUUGUGUUAUUGGGAAGGGUGGACAAGUUAUUCAGAAUAUAAGGAGUGAGACUCGUGCGCAGAUUCGGAUUACCAAGGAUGAGCAUUUACCUCCUUUGGCUCUGAGUACUGAUGAGCUUCUCCUGAUACAUGGAGAACCUUCUGUUGUGAGAAAGGCACUUUACCAAGUGGCAACACGGCUUCAUGAGAAUCCAUCUCGGUCACAGCACUUGCUAUUGUCUUCUUCAGCCAACACAUAUCAAUCUGGUGGCAUGUUUGUCACUGCAAAUGCUGGAGCCCCUCUUUUGGGUCUAUAUGGCAAUUAUAAAGGUAGUUGGUCAUCAUCCUUUUACCCGGACCAGAGAGAUGAAGCUUCUGCAAAAGAUUUUUCUCUUCGUUUAGUUUGUCCCAUUGCAAACAUCGGAGGUGUGAUUGGGAAAGGUGGCGGAAUCAUCAAACAAAUUCGACAGGAAUCCAGGGCUUCUAUUAAAGUUGAUAGCUCAGGGGCUGAAGGAAAUGAUUGCAUAAUAUUUAUAUCAGCAAAGGAGUUCUUUGAAGAUCAAUCUCCAACCAUGAAUGCAGCACUGCGCAUGCAACCACGAUGCAGUGAAAAAACUGAAAAGGAAUCAGGUGAUUCUGUAAUCACCACCCGUCUGCUUGUGGGAAGAUCACAAAUUGGAUGUCUUAUGGGGAAAGGUGGGGCAAUUAUUUCAGAAAUGAGGAAUCUAACAAGGGCAAACAUCCGGAUUAUUUCCGAAGACAAUCUUCCCAAGGUUGCUGGUGAAGAUGAUGAGAUGGUGCAGAUCACCGGAAGCCUUGAAGUUGCUAGUAAUGCUCUUUUACAAGUGAUUUUAAGGUUGAAAGCCAAUAUAUUUGGAAGAGACGGAGCACUAACUACAUUUCCACCGGCUCUUCCGUACAUUCCUGUGUCACUAGAUACAUCAGAUGGUCCAAAAUAUGGGAGCCGAGACAGACAAUCACGUGGGCGCGGAUACUCUUCUUCAUCUAGUGGAUAUGGUUCUCAUGAUGUGAACCCAAGUGAUAAUUAUGGAAGUAAUGGAGGUCCACUGAUUGGUGGUGAAGGCAGUUAUGGAGCAUAUGGUGGCUUCUCAUCUGGUCGUUCUAGUGGUGCUGGGUUAUCUGGUCAGAACCCUGUUUCCCAAAGAAAAAAACAUGGGUAUUAGUCCUGUAUUCUAUUCCAGGGCCAACAGGCACAUCUCUUGAUGGUCUGUGUUCAGGUUUGUUUCAUAAGCUGUGGGAAAAUCACAAUUAGUUUAGCUGGGAGGUAGUUGCACACAUCCCUCUUCUAGCUGAUUCACAAAUUGCUGGCAUGGUGAAGGUGAAAUCAGCUUGAGGGGUUUGAUGCAUCAACUAUUUUCAUUUGCAUCACCAGCAGGUAUGUUUCUUUGCUCCUGGUUUUCAGUAAGCAGGAUGUUUGUACAGGUCAUGACCUGGCUGCCUUAUUGGUAAUUAGUUAGCUGGCUGCUGUUGUAUAACAAUACAAGAACACAAAGAUAGUCAGGCAUGAUAUCAUUGUCUGUUUGAUGCCCAUCAGUUUAAAAUUGGUUAAGUAGGUUUUCCCAAUACUAAUAAAACUAGAUGCUAUUUCCACGUUCUUUUAUGGCACUGGUAUUCAUUCUCAUCUCGUCUAUGGAGACAGACUCAAGAAACAAGUGAGAUUGCCUUAUUUUUGGAUGUGUUCACUGGUAUGGUUACCGUGUUGAGCGAUCAUCACUUUUGAACAUAGAAAUCCACUAAAUUAUGUAUGUAUACCUGUUUAUACCUAUGUUUUCAUUAUGCCUGGUUUCUUAAUUUUCUUGUGGAAGCACUCUCAUCGAACUUUGAUUUGUUGUUUUAUAUAAUGUUUCAGCAUAGUAGAUGGUAUCUGAUUCUUGGUUGUUCUACUUUCUUACCUCUCCAAUGCAGUUAAAUAUGAGUGUGUAUGUGGGAUUCUUGAUGUGGCUGGGACUUUUGGAGUCAAAUUUGAGUAAUCGAUUUGAUAGUGCAGUGCAUUCAAUUAUCUGGAAAACUAAUGUGUAGUAAUUAACUUGUGUUUUGCUUAUAUUGUGAAGGGUGAAGAAUGCUUUCUGCUGCCGAACUCCUUCUCUUCUUAAAUGGCCUGUAAUAUCUUUUAGAGGUAGGAUUUUGUCAUGAAUCAGAUUUUUGUAUUAGCUGAUGAUUUUGUCUUCGUGUUGAA